ensembl:lncRNA novel transcript
GGCCCAUUACCACUCACUAAAACAGUCUGUCACAGUGGUGCUCUGGGGCCAUUCAUUUUUCAUGACCUUCUUGGAGACGUGACUGGGAUUUCCUGAAACCACGCAUAGGUCCCUGCCCAGCAAGCGCUCUGCAUUAACAUCCCUUAAUUCUUCUCUUCCAAAGGGCCACUGUCAUAAGGACGCCUGGAAGAGUGAAGAAAGGCCUGAUUGAUCACAAGGUCCUAUCAAAUGUCAAAGCUGGCCCUGGCUGACCUCCCAUCUAUUCAGAGCUGCUUUGAUUUAAUCUCCAAACUGGCUGCUUCUCCAGGCUGUGAGUUCUAUCUGCAACCCAUGUGUCAGCAUUGAGAUAUGACCUGCUUCACGCUCCAUUCAUCUCAUUUGAAGGACGGAAAUUAAACUCGAGGGUCGAAGAGGGGAACUGCUCAAAAUACACACACACAUUAACUGAAGCCUUUUGUGUGGGUACAUUAUAGGAGUUUGAACAACCAUUAAAAAUUAUAUUAAAAUGAACUUGAUCUUUACUCCACUGAAAUGGUUUAGAACUCUUCCUCCCCUCACUGCCCCUUCGUCUAUUCUUUUUUCCCUCUCAUAUUUGUAGUAAUCAUAUGAACCUGAUCUUAUUAAGAUUCAAAGUGAAAGAAGAGAAAAAUUUACAUUUUUUCAGUUUCUUUAAAAAUGGUGUCCUUUAGAAAAUUCACUUUGCCUGUAGUUUGCACAGUAAAUAUUUUUUUUAAAGAGAUAGGAGAAGCCAGAACCAGACUAAUAGAAAUGCAGACUGCUUUGUUUAGCAUUAUUGAUUCAUUUAAGUUUCACCUUGUAAGGUUUUUAAAAAAAUUAAUUAAAACUCAAACUUUGGGAACAGUUCUAUAACCAUCAGGACACAUUGGUAUGGUAUAAAUCUAUAUAUCCUAGGUUCCAUUUCUUAUUUCUAAACUCUUCUUUCUCUUUUCAUUGGCCCUUUUAUACUAUCAAGGCUAAUAACUAAGUGAAACUUGAUUCCUUAUAGAUUUGUUUGCAUAAAAAUUUCAAGAACAAGCUCUACGUUAUUUACUAGAAGUACCUCAAAAGUAUUGAAAUAAAAUAAUUAUAAGUGUGUUAGAAAAGUUAGUUAUACUUAUUUCUGUGUUUAUUCAUUUGCUUAUGCAUUCAUACAUUUAAACUCUGUAUGAUAAUGGCAUCCAGGUAGGAAAAAUGUUGUUGCUUGUUUAGUUAAAAGGAUAUACUGUACAUUUCCACUGUAAGAGUAGUACAUAUUCAAUAUAGAAAAGACAAUUGGCAAAGACAGGCAAGAAAGAGGGAAUAGCAGACAUCAAAAAUACUAUUGACCAGAAGUAAACAACAUAAAUACCUUUGUGUUUAUCCUUUCUUUUUUUUUUUGUAGAUGCCCACUUUUUAUUUUCCUUAUAUAAAAUCAUACUGUUUCUGCUUGGGAGAAGACUGCAUUUUUGAUUGUUAUAUCACCUUUUAUGGAAAUGAUUAUUUUGCUUGGUAAUAUUGUAUGAAUAGCAAUUCAGAUUUUUAAGUUUUUUCACUAUUAUGAAUAUUUUUAUGUAAAAAUAUAAUUAUAUAUAGUAUGUUAUUUAUGUUUCCUUUAUUUUCUCCAAAAUACUCUAAUUUGGGAAAAAAAGAUGUGCUCAAUUUACUGGUAUAGUUAAAACUAUAGUCUUUUCUUUUACGGUUUUUCAUUUGAAUACUCACUUGGAAAUAAUUUUCCUUCUUAAAUAAUCACUCGUGUUUUCUUUAAGACAUGUCAUUUGUUUUAUAUGUAAUAUAUGUACAAUGGAAUGAGUACUAUAGUGAAUACUGAUACUAUUUCUACAUAAACAAUUUCAUGGGACUUAUGAAAAAUCUUUCUGACUACGGUCAUAUGGAGAGAAACAUUUGAGCAUCUGAGGCAUUCAAAUAAUGCUGUUUAAACAUCUAGUUUUGCAAGUAGGGAAGUGGAAGAACACAGGAUGAUUGUAUCUGUCUUGUACUUCUCAGUAAAAUCUCUCUUUCUUCAUAUCCUUAUGUUGAUAUCUUAUUAUUCAUGGCAGAAAUGUUGAAUAAAUGCACUUUGCAAGUUAACUCAUUCUUUGCAGUGCCAGGUGGAAAGUAGGCUCAUUCUUUUAAUAUGGUAUAGCAUUUUGCAAGAGAACUUUUUACAAUGGUGGAAAUAUUCUAUAAUUGAACUGUUCAACAUGGUAGCCACCAGCUACAUGUGGCUAUUGAACACAUGAAAUGUGACUCAUGUAACUGAGAAACUGAAUAAAAAAUUUUAUGUAAUUUAAA